UGAAAUAUUGGAUGAACGAAAUUGGGUUAUGAUUGAGAGGAAUUCGUAGGAAUUAGAUGUAAAAAUGUUAGAUUUUUGUGAAAUCGAAUAGGGUAUGAUUCGUGUUAGAUGAUAUGAACAAUUAUUGUAAAAAAUUGGACUGUGGAAGGUUGAAUUGGAUAGAUCUCGUAGCAGAGAAAGCCAUAGCAGAUCUGGAAGUCUGGUUUCUGGUCAUACGCGUAUGGCACUAGGCAGU
rnacentral:lncRNA from 1 species